rnacentral:rRNA from 1 species
AGAACAAACGCUGGCGGCAGGCUUAACACAUGCAAGUCGAACGCGUGUAGCAAUACACGAGUGGCGCACGGGUGAGUAACGCGUGGAUAUCUGCCUUUUGGUUCGGAAUAACCCCGGGAAACUGGGGCUAAUACCGGAUGGUUCCUACGGGAUAAAGAUUUAUCGCCAAAAGAUGAGUCCGCGUCCGAUUAGCUAGUUGGUGGGGUAAUGGCCUACCAAGGCGACGAUCGGUAGCUGGUCUGAGAGGACGAUCAGCCACACUGGGACUGAGACACGGCCCAGACUCCUACGGGAGGCAGCAGUGGGGAAUAUUGGACAAUGGGGGCAACCCUGAUCCAGCCAUGCCGCGUGAGUGAUGAAGGCCUUCGGGUUGUAAAGCUCUUUUGGCGGGGACGAUGAUGACGGUACCCGCAGAAUAACGCCCGGCUAACUUCGUGCCAGCAGCCGC